rnacentral:rRNA from 1 species
CCUACGGGAGGCAGCAGUGGGGAAUAUUGGACAAUGGGGGGAACCCUGAUCCAGCCAUGCCGCGUGUGUGAAGAAGGCCCUCGGGUUGUAAAGCACUUUCAGUGAGGAAGAACGCCUGGUGGUUAAUACCCAUCAGGAAAGACAUCACUCACAGAAGAAGCACCGGCUAACUCCGUGCCAGCAGCCGCGGUAAUACGGAGGGUGCGAGCGUUAAUCGGAAUUACUGGGCGUAAAGCGCGCGUAGGUGGCUUGAUAAGCCGGUUGUGAAAGCCCCGGGCUCAACCUGGGAACGGCAUCCGGAACUGGCAAGCUAGAGUGCAGGAGAGGAAGGUAGAAUUCCCGGUGUAGAGGUGAAAUGCGUAGAGAUCGGGAGGAAUACCAGUGGCGAAGGCGGCCUUCUGGACUGACACUGACACUGAGGUGCGAAAGCGUGGGUAGCAAACAGGAUUAGAUACCCGAGUAGUC